UACGUAGGGAGCAAGCGUUGUCCGGAAUCAUUGGGCGUAAAGCGCGCGUAGGCGGCCCGGUAAGUCCGUUGUAAAAGUCAAAGGCUCAACCUUUGAAAGCCGAUGGAUACUGCCGGGCUAGAGUCCGGAAGAGGCGAGUAGAAUUCCUGGUGUAGCGGUGGAAUGCGCAGAUAUCAGGAGGAAUACCCAUAGCGAAGGCAGCUCGCUGGGACGGUACUGACGCUAAGGCGCGAAAGCGUGGGGAGCGAACAGG
rnacentral:rRNA from 1 species